GAUGAACGCUGACAGAAUGCUUAACACAUGCAAGUCUACUUGAACUUCGGUUUGGGUGGCGGACGGGUGGGUAACGCGUAAAGAACUUGCCUCACAGUUAGGGACAACAUUUGGAAACGAAUGCUAAUACCUGAUAUUAUGAUUUUAGGGCAUCCUAGGAUUAUGAAAGCUAUAUGUGCUGUGAGAGAGCUUUGCGUCCCAUUAGCUAGUUGGAGAGGUAACGGCUCACCAAGGGGAUGAUGGGUAGCCGGCCUGAGAGGGUGAACGGCCACAAGGGGACUGAGACACGGCCCUUCCUCCUACGGGAGGCAGCAGUGGGGAAUAUUGGACAAUGGACCAAAAGUCUGAUCCAGCAAUUCUGUGUGCACGAUGACGUUUUUCGGAAUGUAAAGUGCUUUCAGUUGGGAAGAAAAAAAUGACGGUACCAACAGAAGAAGUGACGGCUAAAUACGUG
rnacentral:rRNA from 1 species